rnacentral:rRNA from 1 species
AUGAGUCGACCUGAUGGAAUCAAUAUCCCCGACGGCAAGUUCUACCUUGGAGAUGCUGGCUAUACAUGUCGGACGGGUAUUCUUCCACCCUUCAGGAAAACAAGGUACCAUCUCAACGAGUUCUCUGGUAGGAAGUAACCUAGGACUGCACAGGAGCUGUUUAAUCUCAAACACUCCAGCCUUAGAGUAACUAUUGAGAGGGCAUUUGGAGGUCUAAAGAAUAGGUUUAAGAUCCUGGAUCAGAAGCCAUUCCACCCAUACUCCACUCAGGUUAAGCUUGAUCUUGCUUGUUGCAUUCUGCAUAACUGGAUCCUCCAAUGGGGCUUUGAUGAACACGUGCCUGAGGAGGAAGAGGUCGAGCCUGACGAUGUUGUUAGCUCUGGCCAUGGUGUGGAGGUAUUUAACAAUGACGCUUGGAAGAACAAAAGGUUGGAGUGGGCAGAGGCAAUCACUACAAAAAAGACACAUCCGUGA